rnacentral:rRNA from 1 species
AACGAACGCUGGCGGCAUGCCUAACACAUGCAAGUCGAACGAGACCUUCGGGUCUAUUGUCGCACGGGUGCGUAACGCGUGGGAACCUGCCCUUAGGUUCGGAAUAACUCCCCGAAAGGGGUGCUAAUACCGGAUAAUGUCUUCUGACCAAAGAUUUAUCGCCUUUGGAUGGGCCCGCGUUGGAUUAGCUAGUUGGUAGGGUAAAAGCCUACCAAGGCGACGAUCCAUAGCUGGUCAGAGAGGAUGAUCAGCCACACUGGGACUGAGAAACGGCCCAGACUCCUACGGGAGGCAGCAGUGGGGAAUAUUGGAACAUGGGGGAAAGCAUGAUCCAGCAAUGCCGCGUGAGUGAUGAAGGCCUUAGGGUUGUAAAGCUCUUUUAACCGGGAUGAUAAUGACAGUACCGGGAGAAUAAGCUCCGGCUAACUCCGUG